GAUGAACGCUGGCGGCGUGCUUAACGCAUGCAAGUCGAACGAAGUAUAUUGGAAUGAGUUCUUCGGAACAAAUGGAUUUAUACUUAGUGGCGGACGGGUGGGUAACGCGUGGAUAACCUGCCUUACACUGGGGGACAACAGUUAGAAAUGACUGCUAAUACCGCAUAAGCGCACAGUACCGCAUGGUACGGUGUGAAAAACUCCGGUGGUGUAAGAUGGAUCCGCGUCUGAUUAGCUAGUUGGUGAGGUAAUGGCUCACCAAGGCGACGAUCAGUAGCCGGCCUGAGAGGGUGAACGGCCACAUUGGGACUGAGACACGGCCCAGGCUCCUACGGGAGGCAGCAGUGGGGAAUAUUGCACAAUGGGCGAAAGCCUGAUGCAGCGACGCCGCGUGAGCGAAGAAGUAUUUCGGUAUGUAAAGCUCUAUCAGCAAGGAAGAUAAUGACGGUACUUGACUAAGAAGCCCCGGCUAACUACGUGCCAGCCGCCGCAGUAA
rnacentral:rRNA from 1 species